ACGGCGAGUGAAGCGGUAACAGCUCAAAUUUGAAAUCUGGCCUCACGGUCCGAGUUGUAAUUUGUAGAGGAUGCUUCGAGCAUGGUCUGGCCUAAGUUCCUUGGAACAGGACGUCAUAGAGGGUGAGAAUCCCGUAUGCGGCCAGGUGCCUACGCUCAUGUGAAGCUCCUUCGACGAGUCGAGUUGUUUGGGAAUGCAGCUCAAAAUGGGUGGUAAAUUUCAUCUAAAGCUAAAUAUUGGCCAGAGACCGAUAGCGCACAAGUAGAGUGAUCGAAAGAUGAAAAGCACUUUGGAAAGAGAGUUAAACAGUACGUGAAAUUGUUGAAAGGGAAGCGCUUGCAACCAGACUUGCGCGCGGCCGAUCAUCCGGUGUUCUCACCGGUGCACUCGGCCGUGCUCAGGCCAGCAUCGGUUUUGGCGGCUGGAUAAAGGCCCUAGGAAUGUAGCUCCUCUCGGGGAGUGUUAUAGCCUAGGGUGCAAUGCAGCCUGCUGGGACCGAGGACCGCGCUUCGGCUAGGAUGCUGGCGUAAUGGUUGUAAGCGGCCCGUCUUGAAACACGGACCAAGGAGUCUAACAUCUAUGCGAGUGUUUGGGUGUCAAACCCAUACGCGUAAUGAAAGUGAACGGAGGUGAGAACCCUUAAGGGUGCAUCAUCGACCGGUCCUGAAGUUUACGGAAGGAUCUGAGUAAGAGCAUAGCUGUUGGGACCCGAAAGAUGGUGAACUAUGCCUGAAUAGGGUGAAGCCAGAGGAAACUCUGGUGGAGGCUCGCAGCGGUUCUGACGUGCAAAUCGAUCGUCAA
rnacentral:rRNA from 1 species